rnacentral:rRNA from 1 species
GAUGAACGCUGGCGGCGUGCCUAAUACAUGCAAGUCGAGCGAACGGACGAGAAGCUUUCUUUUCUGAUGUUAGCGGCGGACGGGUGAGUAACACGUGGAUAACCUACCUAUAAGACUGGGAUAACUUCGGGAAACCGGAGCUAAUACCGGAUAAUAUUUUGAACCGCAUGGUUCAAAAGUGAAAGACGGUCUUGCUGUCACUUAUAGAUGGAUCCGCGCUGCAUUAGCUAGUUGGUAAGGUAACGGCUUACCAAGGCAACGAUGCAUAGCCGACCUGAGAGGAUGAUCGGCCACACUGGAACUGAGACACGGUCCAGACUCCUACGGGAGGCAGCAGUAGGGAAUAUUCCGCAAUGGGCGAAAGCCUGACGGAGCAACACCGCGUGAGUGAUGAAGGUCUUCGGAUCGUAAAACUCUGUUAUUAGGGAAGAACAUAUGUGUAAGUAACUGUGCACAUCUUGACGGUACCUAAUCAGAAAGCCACGGCUAACUACGUG